GGACAAUCUGCCCUGAAGAAGAGAAUAAUCCCGGGAAACUGGGGGUAAUGCUCUAUAGUCCGGGAGGACUGGAAUGUUCUCCGGAUGAAAGAUCCGUCGCUUCAGGAUGAGUCUGCGGCCGAUUAGGUAGUUGUUGGGGUAAAAGCCCAACAAGCCUGUCAUCGGUACGGGUUGUGGGAGCAAGAGCCCGGAGAUGGAUUCUGAGACACGAAUCCAGGCCCUACGGGGCGCAGCAGGCGCGAAAACUUUACAAUGCGAGAAAUCGUGAUAAGGGAACCCCGAGUGCCCGUAAAUUCGGGCUGUCCGCCAGUGCAAAAAACUGGUGAAGAAAGAGCCGGGCAAGACCGGUGCCAGCCGCCGCGGUAAUACCGGCGGCUCGAGUGGUGGCCACUAUUACUGGGCUUAAAGCGUCCGUAGCUUGGUUGUUAAGUCUCCUGGGAAAUCCAUCGGCUCAACCGAUGGGCGUUCAGGAGAUACUGGCAACCUAGGGACCGGGAGAGGUGAGAGGUACUCCAGGGGUAGGAGUGAAAUCCUGUAAUCCUUGGGGGACCACCUGUGGCGAAGGCGUCUCACUAGAACGGCUCCGACAGUGAGGGACGAAAGCUGGGGGAGCAAACCGGAUUAGAUACCCGGGUAGUCCCAGCUGUAAACGAUGCGCGUUAGGUGUAUCGGUGACCACGAGUCACCGAGGUGCCGAAGGGAAACCGUGAAACGUGCCGCCUGGGAAGUACGGUCGCAAGGCUGAAACUUAAAGGAAUUGGCGGGGGAGCACCACAACAGGUGGAGCCUGCGGUUUAAUCGGACUCAACGCCGGGAAGCUCACCGGAUAAGACAGCUGAAUGAUAGCCGGGUUGAAGACUCUGCUUGACUAGCUGAGAGGAGGUGCAUGGCCGUCGUCAGUUCGUACUGUGAAGCAUCCUGUUAAGUCAGGCAACGAGCGAGACCCACGCCAACAGUUGCCAGCAUGUCCUCCGGGAUGGUGGGGACACUGUUGGGACCGCCUCUGCU
rnacentral:rRNA from 1 species